AGAAGCAUUAUCUUCAUUCCAGACAACAUAUUCGGACAUUUAAACAUAUCAACAACUUGCAAGGAUAAGAAAUCAAACAGUAGGGAUUGUAGGUGAAGAGCCCUCUCUUUCACCCCUUUCACCAACACUGUUAUCUGCAAAUUUUAAGCUUGCUGAGUGGUAACCUUUCUCUUUCACCCCUUUCACCGACACUGUUAAGGAUGUGCAUGCAGCAUUAUUGUGGCAGAAAGGGUUGCCCUCAAUUUUAUGCAAAGAAUGAGUGGAAUAGCAACACUUACCAAGGUAGCUUUCCAUGUAUCAACUAAUAUUCCAUGGUCUUUUUUCCAGCCUCAAUCAGAAUAGCUUUACAUUUUGCAUGGUUCUUCAUGCACAUAUUCAUUGUGUUGUGUUGGGUUUGCUAGGGUUGUAGUGGUAAGAUAGCUGAAAUUAUACUGCCUUUUUUUGUAAAGUCCAUCUUGAAUUUGUAAAGAAAACAUAAACAUAAAUUUCCAGACCAGGUUUCCAUCAA